AUGAACGCUGGCUACAGGCUUAACACAUGCCAGUCGAGGGGAAACGACGGGGAAGCUUGCUUCCCCGGGCGUCGACCGGCGCACGGGUGAGUAACGCGUAUCCAACCUGCCUCUGACUGAGGGAUAACCCGUCGAAAGUCGGCCUAAUACCUCAUGGCAUCGUCUGCGGGCAUCCAACGACGAUUAAAGAUUUCAUCGGUCAGAGAUGGGGAUGCGUCUGAUUAGCUUGUUGGCGGGGUAACGGCCCACCAAGGCGACGAUCAGUAGGGGUUCUGAGAGGAAGGUCCCCCACAUUGGAACUGAGACACGGUCCAAACUCCUACGGGAGGCAGCAGUGAGGAAUAUUGGUCAAUGGGCGAGAGCCUGAACCAGCCAAGUAGCGUGCAGGAUGACGGCACUAUGGGUUGUAAACUGCUUUUAUGCGGGGAUAAAGUGAGGGACGUGUCCUUCAUUGCAGGUACCGCAUGAAUAAGGACCGGCUAAUUCCGUG
rnacentral:rRNA from 1 species